rnacentral:tRNA from 1 species
GUGGGUGUAGCUCAGUGGUAGAGCUCCUGAUUGUGGUUCAGGCGGUCGCGGGUUCGACCCCCGUCACUCACCCCA